CAAACCAGCUUUUAGACCAACAGUCUACAGCUGAGCCCACUUCCCACGAGCUCAUGCAUUUGCUUUCUGAACCACUGAGUAAAUUUAACAUUCCCAGCUCCCUUGCGUCACGGAAUUUACCAAAUCCACUGCAACACAACCUCUUCUCCAAGACCGUUACCUUGAAAGUUUCACGUUUUACAGGCAGGCUAACGAUAUCUUCUAGGAUUAUGACGGCGGCGUCAAUACAGAGCUGAGUUUCGCUGCUCGGGCGAAGGAGCCCGCCACGCACCUACCUGACACACACACACACACACGCGACGGCAUCCAGAUCUCAAGCAGCCUGAUCCAUUAACAUGGUCCAAGCCAAGCUAAGAUGUCUGCAGAAUCAGUCACCACAAAAAACAGGAGUGAUGAUGAUGGUCACUCUGAAUUUCAGUGCAAGUCACUCGUUCCUACCAGGAACAGGAGGAUCUAUGGGUCUGCAUGGGUUCAGAAAUGAUGGAUCAUCUUUGGACACCGUUGCUGUCAAACAUGCAGAUGAGAAGUAGUAACUUCAUUAGGUAAUCAAAAAAAUUAAUUUGCCUUUCCUAGUUUAAAUCUCAGUGAACGUAAAAUAUUCUGACAUCUAC
rnacentral:lncRNA from 1 species